GCCCGGGUGGCGGAACUGGUAGACGCGCACGACUCAAAAUCGUGUUCCUUCGGGAGUGAGAGUUCGAUUCUCUCCCCGGGCACCA
rnacentral:tRNA from 1 species